CCCAGGGGCAGGAUCCCUCAGGAGAAGAGCCUUAGCGCUGACGAUUCCAUAAACUGUAUGGUUCAUCCCUGGUGCUCCGUAAAUGGCCACUGGUCCCAAAUUAGUAUGUGGGUAAUAUGACUGAAGAAUAUGAAGUCCUUAGUUAAAAUGUUUGUAACCCAGUUUGACAUUAUUUAAAUAAAUUUCUUCUGGAUGAGACAGUUUGAAGACAUCUGUUGGGUUUGGCAUUUAUUUUAUGUUAUGUAAGUCUGACCUUCUAAUAUAACUGCUCAGACUUUGUUCAAAACAGCAAAUUUCUUUCUGUUAUAGAUUCCCCUGUGUUAUUGUGAGUCCUUUUUUUGAUAUACUUGUGGUACCUGUCUCUGUCUCUGAUCAAAAGCAGGAGUAUGGAAGCUUAGAAGAUUCUGGUAAUACUGAGCAGCAGUUACAUUGAUACCCUGUUUGAGAGCAGCUGGUUAUCAGAGGCUGAAGCCAAUAUCAUCAUUUCGUUUGUCUUAUCGUGCUGAGUCCAAGCUUUGCCAUUUAAAUUCAGCCAGAUGUUCCUUAGCAGAGCUACUUUGAAUCCAGUAUGUUGCAGUACAACCCCAUCAGUGCUGAUCCCACUCUGGCAUCUUUUCUUUUAGUGCACCCCUGUUACCUUUCUCUUAAUUACUGAAUUACCCUGAAAUGUUUGUA